GACGAACGCUGGCGGCGUGCCUAGUACAUGCAAGUUGAGCGCUGAAGGUUGGUACUUGUCCCAACUGGAUGAGCAGCGAACGGGUGAGUAACGCGUGGGGAAUCUGCCUUUGAGCGGGGGACAACAUUUGGAAACGAAUGCUAAUACCGCAUAAAAACUUUAAACACAAGUUUUAAGUUUGAAAGAUGCAAUUGCAUCACUCAAAGAUGAUCCCGCGUUGUAUUAGCUAGUUGGUGAGGUAAAGGCUCACCAAGGCGAUGAUACAUAGCCGACCUGAGAGGGGGAUCGGCCACAUUGGGACUGAGACACGGCCCAAACUCCUACGGGAGGCAGCAGUAGGGAAUCUUCGGCAAUGGACGAAAGUCUGACCGAGCAACGCCGCGUGAGUGAAGAAGGUUUUCGGAUCGUAAAACUCUGUUGGUAGAGAAGAACGUUGGUGAGAGUGGAAAGCUCAUCAAGUGACGGUAACUACCCAGAAAGGGACGGCUAACUACGUG
rnacentral:rRNA from 1 species